rnacentral:rRNA from 1 species
UGCCAGACUCCUACGGGAGGCAGCAGUGGGGAAUAUUGCACAAUGGGGGAAACCCUGAUGCAGCAACGCCGCGUGAGUGAAGAAGUAUUUCGGUAUGUAAAGCUCUAUCAGCAGGGAAGAAAAUGACGGUACCUGAGUAAGAAGCCCCGGCUAACUACGUGCCAGCAGCCGCGGUAAUACGUAGGGGGCAAGCGUUAUCCGGAUUUACUGGGUGUAAAGGGAGCGUAGACGGCGAUACAAGUCUGAAGUGAAAGCCCGGGGCUCAACCCCGGGACUGCUUUGGAAACUGUGUUGCUGGAGUGCUGGAGAGGCAAGCGGAAUUCCUAGUGUAGCGGUGAAAUGCGUAGAUAUUAGGAAGAACACCAGUGGCGAAGGCGGCUUGCUGGACAGUAACUGACGUUGAGGCUCGAAAGCGUGGGGAGCAAACAGGAUUAGAUACCCGAGUAAUC